rnacentral:RNase_MRP_RNA from 1 species
GCGGUGGGCUUGCCGCCCUUCAAGAGAGGUGCUGUCAAGAGAUGCGGCGUAUGCGAGACUAGGUUAGUUGUUCCUCCGUAUCCACUUGUGCGG